CCUACGGGCGGCUGCAGUAGGGAAUCUUCCACAAUGGACGAAAGUCUGAUGGAGCAACGCCGCGUGAGUGAAGAAGGGUUUCGGCUCGUAAAGCUCUGUUGGUAGUGAAGAAAGAUAGAGGUAGUAACUGGCCUUUAUUUGACGGUAAUUACUUAGAAAGUCACGGCUAACUACGUGCCAGCAGCCGCGGUAAUACGUAGGUGGCAAGCGUUGUCCGGAUUUAUUGGGCGUAAAGCGAGUGCAGGCGGUUCAAUAAGUCUGAUGUGAAAGCCUUCGGCUCAACCGGAGAAUUGCAUCAGAAACUGUUGAAGUUGGGGGGAGAAGAGGAGAGUGGAACGCGAGGGGUAGCGGUGGAAGGCG
rnacentral:rRNA from 1 species